AUCCUGCCAGUAGUCAUAUGCUUGUCUCAAAGAUUAAGCCAUGCAUGUCUAAGUAUAAACUGAUUUUAUACGGUGAAACUGCGAAUGGCUCAUUAAAUCAGUUAUAGUUUAUCCGAUUGUGCCGUUGUGAAUCGGAUUACCGUCCGGUUCGCUCCUACUUGGAUAACCGUGGUAAUUCUAGGGCUAAUACAUGCAAAAAAGGCCGACUGGAGGGGGAAAGGGUAAGGGGGUAUGGGCUUGCUCGUGCCUACCGCCCCUCCCAUUCUUCGGAAGGCCUGCAUUUAUUGGAACUAAAAACCAAUGCGGGGCCCCGUGCAGUUCGGCGUCAAAAACCGGACGGCGGGGACAAAACCCCGGCUAUACGCAUCGGUGAUUCACAAUAACUGCGCGAAUCGCAUGGCCUUCUUAGCGCCGGCGAUGGAUCGGACGAAUUUCUGCCCUAUCAACUAGACGGUAGGGUAGUGGCCUACCAUGGUUAUAACGGGUAACGGAGAAUUAGGGUUCGAUUCCGGAGAGGGAGCCUGAGAAACGGCUACCACUUCCAAGGAAGGCAGCAGGCGCGUAAAUUACCCAAUCCCGACACGGGGAGGUAGUGACAAGAAAUAACAAUGCAGGCCCUGAACAAGGGCUUGCAAUUGGAAUGAGUGCAAUUUAAAUCCUUCAACAAGGAACAAUUGGAGGGCAAGUCUGGUGCCAGCAGCCGCGGUAAUUCCAGCUCCAAUAGCGUAUAUUAAAGUUGUUGCAGUUAAAAAGCUCGUAGUUGGAUUUCCCGGGUUGACGCUUGUGCGUUGUUCUUCGGAACAAUGUACAACUCUCCCGGGCAUGGGGUUUCGUUCUGCCCUCCUCCCCGCCCGCAGCCUCCCUGUCCUCUUCGGGGGACUUGGGGUGUGCUGCGGGAUCGGGGGGCGGAGGGACCAGAGCGGAGUUCCGGUCCGUUUACCUUGAAUAAAUUAGAGUGUUCAAAGCAGGCUUUUUUCGAAAGGCCAUGAAUACAUUAGCAUGGGAUAAUGGAAUAGGACUUUGGUCACUAUUUUGUUGGUUUUUUCUGUCUUAAGGACCGAAGUAAUGAUUAAUAGGGACAGUCGGGGGCAUUUGUAUUUAGUUGUCAGAGGUGAAAUUCUUGGAUCAACUAAAGACAAACUUCAGCGAAAGCAUUUGUCAAGGAUGUUUUCAUUAAUCAAGAACGAAAGUUAGGGGAUCGAAGACGAUCAGAUACCGUCGUAGUC
rnacentral:rRNA from 1 species